GCUUCCGUAGCUCAGCCAGAAGAGCACCAGCCUUGUAAGCUGGGGGUCGAGGGUGCAAAUCCCUCCGGGAGCU
rnacentral:tRNA from 1 species